rnacentral:lncRNA from 1 species
AUGCACGCCCCCUUUCCAAGGAGCAAACCAGAGGCACCCCAAAGCGCCUUGCAGGGCUUCUCCGGAGGGUCCACUGGUCACACGCUGGGAUCGCCAAGCCGCCCAGCCUCCCGUCCAGUUCUCUGUGGGUUCUUGCGGUGUAUCUCACCAAAGACUGGGUGGGCGAACCUGGGCCCAGCCCAGGGAGUCCCAUUUCUCAGCCUUGGCCAGAGAGGCGGCGGCAAGGUCCAGUCCCCUACCCCAAACGCAGUGACUACUGCGCGGGGCAGAGGACCACGGGCUCUGGGAGUGGGGGUUCCCCUUCUAAGGGGCAUCCGAGUUUCUGAACAGGUGACACUCGGGGUGAUGCAGGCGGCACUCUCCAACGCCCCCCGCCCCAAUCACACACCGAGGACCUCUGCGGAGCCCCGGAUCCUUUCAACUCCGCGCCGUCCCCGCAGGUCGGCCGUGUGGCGCCCCCUGUCGCCUCUGCGCGCGCCGGGACACUCACCGCAUAGUGCAGCUGCGGUUUCUCGCGGUUCACCGGGUCCCCCAUGUCGCCACCGGGGGAGGAGUAGCAGGCUCUGGGGCUCAGGCUGGGGUCGUGGCGCCUCUUCGGGGUCCCCCUAUUUUACCGCCAUCCUCGGGCAGCCCCCGGACUCGAGCCCUGCUCCCUGCGCCCAGAGCGCGGUGCAAAGCGUCCGGGGCACCAGCGUCCCGCCGCGGAGCCGGUGGGGACAGGGAGGAGGCGACGGCGAAGGGGGAGGAGGAGGAGGAGGAGAAGGAGGAGGGAGAGGCCGAGUCAAAUUCGAUGGGCGGGCGUUUAAUUCCUUCCGCUCCUGCCGGGCCCCAGUCUCGACCGCCGCUGCCAGCUGUUUGGGGGCUACAGCGACCGAGCGCGCCCACGACAGGUGUCAGGGCGGCCGGCGCUCCGAACUCCUGCCACCCCCGCCCCUCCCCGAGCCCACGGGCCCCGGGAUGCCAGGGCCGGGGCUGCUAACGCCUUCACCACCAGCGAGAGGGAGAGAGCUUGGGUUUCCAAGAAAGAGACUUUGA